AUUAUUUUGGCAGAUCAGUGCAAUAAAUUUAGAAUUUAAAUUAGAAUAUAUUUUGUAUAUUAGAUAAUA
rnacentral:tRNA from 1 species